AGAUUGAACGCUGGCGGCAGGCCUAACACAUGCAAGUCGAGCGGUAGAGAGGUGCUUGCACCUCUUGAGGGCGGCGGACGGGUGAGUAAUGCCUAGGAAUCUGCCUAGUGGUGGGGGAUAACGUUCGGAAACGGACGCUAAUACCGCAUACGUCCUACGGGAGAAAGCGGGGGACCUUCGGGCCUCGCGCCAUUAGAUGAGCCUAGGUCGGAUUAGCUAGUUGGUGAGGUAAUGGCUCACCAAGGCGACGAUCCGUAACUGGUCUGAGAGGAUGAUCAGUCACACUGGAACUGAGACACGGUCCAGACUCUACGGGAGCAGCAGUGGGAAUAUUGGACAAGU
rnacentral:rRNA from 1 species